rnacentral:rRNA from 1 species
GUCAUCAGCGACCCGUCUUGAAACACGGACCAAGGAGUCGUCUUCGUAUGCGAGUGUUCGGGUGUUAAACCCCUACGCGUAAUGAAAGUGAACGCAGGUGAGAGCUUCGGCGCAUCAUCGACCGAUCCUGAUGUUCUCGGAUGGAUUUGAGUAAGAGCAUACGGGGCCGGACCCGAAAGAAGGUGAACUAUGCCUGUAUAGGGUGAAGCCAGAGGAAACUCUGGUGGAGGCUCGCAGCGGUUCUGACGUGCAAAUCGAUCGUCAAAUAUGGGCAUGGGGGCGAAAGACUAAUCGAACCAUCUAGUAGCUGGUUCCCUCCGAAGUUUCCCUCAGGAUAGCUGGAGCUCGGACGCGAGUUCUAUCGGGUAAAGCCAAUGAUUAGAGGCAUUGGGGGCGCAACGCCCUCGACCUAUUCUCAAACUUUAAAUAGGUAGGACGUGUCGGCUGCUUUGUUGAGCCGUCACACGGAAUCGAGAGCUCCAAGUGGGCCAUUUUUGGUAAGCAGAACUGGCGAUGCGGGAUGAACCGGAAGCCGGGUUACGGUGCCCAACUGCGCGCUAACCUAGAACCCACAAAGGGUGUUGGUCGAUUAAGACAGCAGGACGGUGGUCAUGGAAGUCGAAAUCCGCUAAGGAGUGUGUAACAACUCACCUGCCGAAUCAACUAGCCCCGAAAAUGGAUGGCGCUUAAGCGCGCGACCUAUACCCGGCCGUCGGGGCAAGAGCCAGGCCUCGAUGAGUAGGAGGGCGCGGCGGUCGCUGCAAAACCUAGGGCGCGAGCCCGGGCGGAGCGGCCGUCGGUGCAGAUCUUGGU